rnacentral:rRNA from 1 species
GUGUCAGCAGCCGCGGUAAUACGUAGGCAGCAAGCGUUGUUCGGAAUUACUGGGCGUAAAGAGUGCGUAGGUGGUUGGCUAAGUUUGGUGUGAAAUCUCCCGGCUCAACUGGGAGGGUGCGCCGAAAACUGGCUAGCUAGAGUGUGGGAGAGGGACGUGGAAUUCCUGGUGUAGCGGUGAAAUGCGUAGAUAUCAGGAGGAACACCUGCGGUGUAGACGGCGUCCUGGACCAUUACUGACACUGAGGCACGAAAGCGUGGGGAGCAAACAGGAUUAGAAACCCUCGUAGUCC